CUUCUCUCUAUAUGGCUUAUGCUGAGUUGCAACAGUGCUUGCCGCCUGGCAUCUUUGUUUUUGGCAGCUGUAGUCACACAAUGGUUCUUUUAAGGAGACAUCUAUACAACAGAUAUUUUGAUGCCUAGUACAUGCCAUUUAAACUACUGUCAUCGGAUCUUGACCCAUUUAGGCACUACACUGAUGAAGAAUUUUAACAAAUAAUCCGCAACCCUUUUGCCAAUGAGUUGCCUGUGCAGUAUUUCGUGCCUUAUCGUUGUGUGGGUUAUUGCAUGCCAUAGUGCUCUGUUGUGCAAGAACCCUUUACUGACACUCAAGGAGGUAAUUAACGGGCAAAGGGGGGAGGGUGGAAGGUUGACACGCCUCCUAAUUCUGAUUUUAACUGGAAUAAUCUGAAUAAUGUUAUCCACAUGCAUCGACAGCAAAGAAGUCCUAACUUUGUCAGAGGCAAAACUAAAACCUGAGGAUGGUUUAGACCCCUGCAUUUUUUUUUAUCGCAAUAUAAGUACUUACGUAGCGAAGUUUGACAAACAUCACGUGUCGCCAUCAGACCUUGAUUACGACACAAUGAAAUGUAAAGCUUUGGAAACAGUAAAUUGAAGUAAAGAAACGUUCGCACCCGCCAGGCAGUGUGGUGACGGACGGCAUUUUUACAGAAUAUACCCUCGGUCACCCACUUCGCGUCAAGUAUCAUGGAGCCGAUAUAUCAGCGAUUUGUAAGAUCGUUUUCUGCUACAGCAUAAUUGUUGCAAUUUGUUCAGCCUCUUUGAUAAGCCCUGCAAAACCAAAAUGCUAGAUGCACUAUUUUAUUCGAUUUUGUUUUUCGAUAUGGAUGUCGCCUCUGUCAAUCUAUUUGCUUUAUGGUGACGUUAUAUACAGUAGAAUGUGGCGCAGACGCUUAAAGGAUACGCAAAUCGUAGCGUGAGAAGGACACAUGAUAUCUCCCCCUCUACCCAGUAAGCAGCGGGUAUGAAUGGGCAUUUAAAACUUUACCCUCUUUAGGAGUAUAUAUAUAUGUGUGUGUGUGUGUGUGUGUGUGUGUGUGUGUGUGUGUGUGUGUGUGUGUGUGUUUAUUCACCAUUCCUGCAUCACGCACCCUGUUCUCAUCAUUGAAAAGCAGUGUUGCCUAUUUUCCGCGCAACACAUAAGGGCUGUUGCACAACUCCGGCAUUAGUCGUGUUGUGGCAGAUCUAGCGUGAGGUGCCAUUACUCUUUUCCGUGAAGGGAGUAAAAGAGAAAAUGUUAAGAUAAUAAUAAUAAGAAGAAUGAACAGAGAAAUGUGACAAAUUGAGAGGAACGUAGCUGCUACUCGGAGUUUUCUUGGAAUUAACACAUCUAGGAAUUUAUAAACAUGAGUCAUCAGCAACCCAGCGGCUUGUUCGGGCCCCUAAACACCCACUAUAGAUCCCUCAAGCGCGUUUAUAUGAACCUCAAGAGAGGCGUGGAGAUUUCGCUUCGCUUCGUCAAUGCUCUGGUAAGAGUAUUCACGCCGAUCAUCUUUUGCUUCUUCUUCGUCUUUAGAAUCGUGGAUAAAAUCGGCAAGUACCUCUCGUGGAUGGCUUACCUUCCGCUCAGGAGUAAGACGGGGAAGGAGGCUGCAGAGGCUGGCGAAGAGCUGCGUCAGAAGAGAAAUGUUUGUGGAGGACCAGACGAUAUGACAAGAGACAGAAAAAAUGGAACCUUCGAAACGUAGUUGAGAAUAAAUUUCUUCGAAUAAACAUGAUUAUAUAACUGACAUAAGUACUUUAUGCAAUGGUUAAAUGGUCUUUGAUAUUGGUUAGAAUCAAUAUAGAAUGCUUG
rnacentral:misc_RNA from 1 species